CGGAAGUGCCGGACUGGCUGACAGAUCCCGAGCGUGUCUGCUGGGCGCCGCGGCUGGAGGGUGCUGUUCUGGGGGAGGUGCCGGCAGGGGUUGAGGUGGGUGGCAGGAUGAUGGAGGAGGAGGAACUGGAGUUCGUGGAGGAGCUGGAAGCCGUGUUGCAGCUCACGCCCGAGGUGCAGCUGGCCAUCGAGCAGGUUUUUCCAAGUCAGGAUCCCUUAGAUCGAGCAGAUUUCAAUGCUGUUGAGUAUAUCAAUACCCUAUUUCCGACAGAGCAAUCUCUGGCAAACAUAGAUGAAGUUGUGAACAAAAUAAGACUGAAAAUCAGGAGACUGGAUGACAAUAUUCGAACUGUUGUGAGAGGUCAGACAAACGUGGGGCAGGAUGGCAGGCAGGCACUUGAAGAGGCCCAGAAGGCUAUUCAGCAACUGUUUGGCAAAAUCAAAGACAUCAAAGACAAAGCAGAAAAAUCAGAGCAAAUGGUUAAAGAAAUCACACGUGAUAUCAAGCAGUUAGAUCAUGCCAAACGCCACCUAACCACCUCAAUCACCACCCUGAACCACCUGCACAUGCUGGCGGGUGGUGUGGACUCCCUCGAGGCAAUGACCAGGAGAAGACAGUAUGGAGAAGUUGCUAAUCUCCUUCAGGGUGUGAUGAAUGUUCUGGAACAUUUCCACAAGUACAUGGGAAUCCCGCAGAUCCGGCAGCUUUCUGAAAGAGUGAAAGCUGCACAGACUGAGUUAGGACAGCAAAUCCUGGCUGAUUUUGAAGAAGCAUUUCCUUCCCAGGGUACCAAGAGGCCUGGAGGACCCAGCAACGUCUUACGAGAUGCAUGUCUGGUUGCUAAUAUUUUGGACCCUAGAAUCAAACAGGAAAUCAUCAAGAAGUUUAUUAAACAGCAUCUGUCAGAAUACCUAGUGCUUUUUCAAGAAAAUCAAGAUGUUGCCUGGCUGGACAAAAUCGACAGACGCUACGCCUGGAUAAAGCGCCAGCUUGUGGACUAUGAAGAGAAAUAUGGCCGCAUGUUUCCACGCGAGUGGUACAUGACUGAGAGGAUUGCAGUAGAAUUCUGCCAUGUGACAAGGACAGAACUUGCCAAGAUUAUGCGUACCAGAGCCAAGGAAAUCGAAGUGAAAUUGCUUCUUUUUGCCAUUCAGAGAACAACCAACUUUGAGGGAUUUCUUGCAAAGCGCUUCUCCGGCUGUACCCUGACAGAUGGAAACGUGAAAAAGCUCGAGUCUCCACCUUCAUCUACCAAUCCCUUCCUGGAAGAUGACACAGCAGCAGAGAUGGAAGAGCUGACAGUGGAGAAAGAUCUAGACCAGCCAAAGAAGCCCAAACCGCCUGACAAUCCGUUUCAUGGCAUUGUUUCCAAGUGCUUCGAGCCUCAUCUCUACGUGUACAUAGAGUCCCAAGACAAAAACCUCGGAGAACUGAUAGAUCGGUUUGUGACUGAUUUCAAAGCCCAGGGACUACCCAAGCCCAACACUGAUGAAGGGGGUGCGGUGCUCCCCAGCUGUGCUGACCUCUUUGUCUACUAUAAGAAGUGCAUGGUACAGUGUUCUCAGCUCAGUACUGGGGAGCCAAUGAUUGCCCUGACCACCAUUUUCCAGAAGUACCUGCGAGAAUAUGCCUGGAAAAUUCUGUCCGGCAACCUGCCCAAAACCACAACCAGCAGCGGAGGGCUGACCAUCAGCAGCCUCCUCAAGGAAAAGGAGGGGUCGGAAGUAGCCAAGUUCACUGUUGAGGAGCUCUGCCUCAUCUGCAGCAUCCUGAGCACAGCAGAGUACUGUCUGGCCACCACGCAGCAGCUAGAAGAAAAACUCAAAGAAAAAGUUGAUGUAAGUCUGACCGAGCGAAUCAACCUGACUGGAGAGAUGGACACAUUUAGCACUGUCAUCUCCAGCAGCAUUCAGCUGCUGGUUCAGGAUCUUGAUGCUGCUUGUGAUCCCGCCCUGACUGCCAUGAGCAAGAUGCAGUGGCAGAACGUGGAGCAUGUUGGUGACCAGAGUCCCUACGUCACCUCCGUCAUUCUUCACAUUAAGCAGAAUGUCCCCAUCAUCCGUGACAACCUGGCUUCCACGCGAAAAUACUUCACUCAGUUCUGCAUUAAAUUUGCAAACUCCUUCAUUCCCAAAUUCAUCACUCACCUCUUCAAGUGCAAGCCAAUCAGCAUGGUGGGAGCGGAGCAGGAGAAUGUGCUACAUACAUUGCAAGGAAGAUCUUUGUACCCAGCGUGGGAGCUUGGGGCAUUAUAUCAUGCUGAAGGGGCUGCUAACAUGAUGCUUUCCUCCGUAGCUGCUGCUGGACACCCACUCACUAAAGAUGGUCCUGCUCGAUCUCCCGUCCAUCGGCUCGCAGGUGGUGAGGAAAGCCCCUGCCAGUUACACCAAGAUCGUUGUGAAGGGCAUGACCCGGGCAGAGAUGAUCCUCAAGGUGGUGAUGGCACCUCAUGAACCACCAGUGGUGUUUGUCGACAACUACAUCAAGCUCCUUACAGACUGCAACACAGAAACCUUCCAGAAGAUUCUGGACAUGAAGGGGCUGAAGCGAAGCGAGCAGAGCAGCAUGCUGGAACUCUUCCGCCAGCGGCUCCCCACUCCACCCUCGGGGCCCGAAGGCUCCAGCUCCCUGUCCCUGAUGGCUCCGACCCCAGAACAGGAGUCCUCUCGAAUCCGCAAACUUGAGAAACUGAUUAAAAAGCGACUCUAGGAGCAACUAGA